rnacentral:lncRNA from 1 species
CUCACUCUCUCGGCCUCUCCGCCUCUCUCUCUCUCGAUCGAACUCUCGGCCUCUCCGCCUCUCUCACGCUCUGAAACCCUAAGAUACCGCCGCCCUCAUCCUUCAUCUGCGCCGCCCUCCUCCGAAACCCUAGAUUCUGCCGUCCUGAACCUCCAUCCGCGCCGCCCUCCUCCGAAACCCUAGAUUCUGCCGUCCUCAACCUCCAUCCGCGCCGCCCUCCUCUGAAAUCCUAAAUUCUGUCGUCCUCAACCUCCAUACGCGUUUAUGGCCGAUAAUAUGGGUUGGUCGGCAUAUUUGAACUCCGAAUUCGUCCCCGAUUCGGAGGACGAAGAAUUCUUUAAGCUCAUACCUCCGUUGCCGUCGCCGCCGUCUGGUUUUGUCUAUGAGGGGAGCGGCGGAUUCCAAGGUUCUGAGGAGUCCACCGGCGGUGCUUUCAUGGAGGAUUCGAGGGUUUCGAGGAGUCCGAUCCGGCGGCCCAUCUAUCGCCGCCCCUCUACCGCGAUGAAGGCGCAGGUGUCGGAGCUAGACUCUCUCCUAUGCACGGAAAGCUGGGACGACGUCGUGCGCGAGCGGGAAGAGGCUGUUGGCGGCGACUGGUGGCGACGGUGCUCCCCUUUGUUGCGAAGGAUGGUGGAGACCAUGUAUCCUGCUUUAAAAGGGUGAGAUCUUUCUUAUUGUCCCGAUAUUUGUGAUCGUCUAUGUCUUGUUGGUAUGAGGGGUGUGGCCCUCUGUGCUCUCAUUCCUCUGUGUUCCUCUAUGUCCUGUUGGUAUGAGGGGUGUGACCCUCUGUGCUGUUGUGGUAGAUGGGCUGAAUGCUGAGAUGAUGAACUUGAUGCUCAUUUGUUUGAUUUUCCCUAUAAU